AAAAAAGCAGAGGUCUGUACUUUUUUCCUCUGAGCUGGCGUCUCGUAAACUUCAGGGAAAUUAUUUGCACCAUUAUCGGGUGAACCUUUGUAAACUAUACUUGUGAAUAAAGGUUCAAUAAAUGUUGUGACAUUA
rnacentral:snoRNA from 1 species